rnacentral:rRNA from 1 species
AACGAACGCUGGCGGCGCGCCUAAUACAUGCAAGUCGAGCGAGAAGACGUAGCAAUACGUUUGUAAAGCGGCGAACGGGUGAGGAAUACAUGGGUAACCUACCCUCGAGUGGGGAAUAACUAGCCGAAAGGUUAGCUAAUACCGCGUACGCUCCUUGGACUUCGGUUCAGGGAGGAAAGCGAUACCGUGGGUAUCGCGCUCUUGGAUGGGCUCAUGUCCUAUCAGCUUGUUGGUGAGGUAACGGCUCACCAAGGCUUCGACGGGUAGCUGGUCUGAGAGGACGAUCAGCCACACUGGCACUGCGACACGGGCCAGACUCCUACGGGAGGCAGCAGUAAGGAAUAUUGCGCAAUGGGCGAAAGCCUGACGCAGCGACGCCGCGUGGGGGGAGUGAA